rnacentral:rRNA from 1 species
UACGUAGGGCGCAAGCGUUGUCCGGAAUUAUUGGGCGUAAAGAGCUCGUAGGCGGUUUGUCACGUCGGAUGUGAAACCCUGAGGCUCAACCUCAGGCCUGCAUUCGAUACGGGCAGACUAGAAUUCGGCAGGGGAGACUGGAAUUCCUGGUGUAGCGGUGAAAUGCGCAGAUAUCAGGAGGAACACCGGUGGCGAAGGCGGGUCUCUGGAACGCAACUGACGCUGAGACGCGAAAGCGUGGGGAGCAAACAGG